UACGAAGGGGGCUAGCGUUGUUCGGAAUUACUGGGCGUAAAGCGUGCGCAGGCGGUUAUGUAAGACAGUUGUGAAAUCCCCGGGCUCAACCUGGGAACUGCAUCUGUGACUGCAUAGCUAGAGUACGGUAGAGGGGGAUGGAAUUCCGCGUGUAGCAGUGAAAUGCGUAGAUAUGCGGAGGAACACCGAUGGCGAAGGCAAUCCCCUGGACCUGUACUGACGCUCAUGCACGAAAGCGUGGGGAGCAAACAGG
rnacentral:rRNA from 1 species